AUUGAACGCUGGCGGCAUGCCUUACACAUGCAAGUCGAACGGCAGCACGGGUGCUUGCACCUGGUGGCGAGUGGCGAACGGGUGAGUAAUACAUCGGAACGUACCUUAUCGUGGGGGAUAACGCAGCGAAAGCUGUGCUAAUACCGCAUACGCCCUGAGGGGGAAAGCGGGGGAUCGCAAGACCUCGCGCGAUUAGAGCGGCCGAUGCCUGAUUAGCUUGUUGGUGGGGUAAAAGCCCACCAAGGCGACGAGCAGUAGCUGGUCUGAGAGGACAAUCAGCCACACGGGAAAUGAGACACGGCCCAGACUCCUACGGGAGGCAGCAGUGGGGAAUUUUGGACAAUGGGGGCAACCCUGAUCCAGCAAUGCCGCGUGAGUGAAGAAGGCCUUCGGGUUGUAAAGCUCUUUUGUCAGGGAAGAAACACCGGCUCUAACACAGUCCGGGAAUGACGGUACCUGAAGAAUAAGCACCGGCUAACUACGUGCCAGCAGCCGCCGUAA
rnacentral:rRNA from 1 species